rnacentral:rRNA from 1 species
AUACGGAGGGGGUUAGCGUUGUUCGGAAUUACUGGGCGUAAAGCGUACGUAGGCGGACUGGAAAGUUGGGGGUGAAAUCCCGGGGCUCAACCCCGGAACUGCCUCCAAAACUUCCAAUCUAGAGAUCGAGAGAGGUGAGUGGAAUUCCAAGUGUAGAGGUGAAAUUCGUAGAUAUUUGGAGGAACACCAGUGGCGAAGGCGGCUCACUGGCUCGAUACUGACGCUGAGGUACGAAAGCGUAGGGAGCAAACAGGAUUAGAAACCCUAGUAGUCC